CCAUACCCCACCAGUCCGAGUUAUCUUGGUCAUGAGAUGCAAAAGGUUGCAUUCCCAGCAUCAAGAAAGCUCCAUGCCCAGAUAACAAGGAAGAAGAGGAGAGGUGGGAGUCACCUUACCGACCCCUUUACCAAUUUCUCCCCCCGCCCCCAAGACAUGUGCUGGGUACAGAACAAGAGGUCACAUCCUCAUGAAAUGUAUCAGGUCAUUUUGGACUGAGACGAGAAGAGAUUUCUUCACUCAGAGGAUAAUGAACCUGUGGAAUUCUCUACCACAGAAAGCCGUGGAGGCGAAGUCACUCGAUAUAUUUAAGAACAAAACAGCACAGAACGGCUGGGGAUGUUUUGAUUUACAGAUCAAAUGUCUACACCGUAUGAAGUGCAUUACACUCAAGACCAUUCCCGGAGACGGUGACAAGUGUGCGCAGGGAUAGGACAGCCUGGCGGUCCAUUUCACACCUCAGCUCGGUCCACUCGUGUGCUACAGCCUAGAAGAAGUGAACUCCAGAUGAGCUGGAUGGAGCAGAUUUGCAGGAGCACAAUGAGUAAUGGCGUGUCAGCAGGUAGAGGGAGCGCUUUCACAGUCAUGGUUGAUGGUCGCCUGGGGCAGUGAGUGCUGCAUAGCCUCCCGUGCACUCGUCUGCACCACAGAGGAAGAAUGACGCCGUGCCUACAAAAGGAACAUCCCGGCCUGUUGGUAGCGGAGAGGACAAUGAUCGCCAACAGCGAGCUAGUCCAGUCCCAAUAUCUGGCGCUGGAAUGUAAUUUACAAAGUUAAAUAGCACAAUCGGCGAUAAAAAAAAAACUGGAUCUUUCAGCAGAAGCUGUUAGAUAAAUAACAGAUUUAAGCAUUAGACUGUCUAAUGAUCAAGAGACUAGAUACAGCGAAAUCUUCACAAAUGUAACUGCUAUCACAAACCAAUGCCUUCGGACAAAUCUAAUAAAAGCAGAAAAUGUAGCUUUUCUGAUCGUCGGGAUAACCGUCCCAUUGUUCUCCGCUACACAUCGCUCAGGUCGAUAAGAAAGGAACUUCUACCUUGCACAGCACGCUGCACUUCGCAACACGCCUCUUCAAAAGCAUUCUAUUCAUAAAAAAAGUCAUCCAUUGAAAGAAGUAGCCUGCAUUGCAGAGAGCUCAAAGUGCACGGUUUAAUAAACUACAGACUGGGUUAAUGAAACCCAGUGCUGUCCGCAAAAAUGCCCAGCGAAUCUGACUGCACAAGACUCGAAACCACCACAUUCACACAUCUAUUUUUUAAUAGAUUCCAACCCCCACCCUCUCUACGAAACAGCGAGUCAUUUUUUCAAAACUCAUAUAUAAUUGCAAAUUCCAUGUUUGAAGCAACUGAAUUAUUUUUCCUGUAAUUAAACAGUGUAUACUUUCUCCUCACUGGGAGGGAGUGCAUAUUUACCGAAUAUAAAAUGUGCGAAAACAGUAAAUAAGUUGCUAAUAACAGCAACAGAUGAUACUUCAGGUCGCCCUCAAAUGAAAAAGUAAAAUUACUCAAGUGACAGGAGUAAUCAAAGAUUUGGUUCUUUUUCUCCAAAAGCUCAGUAUCGGAGGGAAGUCUUGAAAGAUCCGGCGGAAAAGCUGUCGAAAAUAGAUUUGUUGGCAUGUUCACCUUCUUAUCAUCACUAAAUAGUUUUUUUUUUAAAGAGAAGCAACGUGCCAUGGCUCCGAAAAAAAGGCAGCUAAUAAUGCCAGUAAAAUUCAUGAAAUAUUAAUGAAAAAUGUUUGUAAAAAAAGCCUAUGGUAAGUUACAAGAAUCUAUUCGAUCAAUUGACAGAUUGGAUUUAAUCAACUAUUGAUUCUGUUUUUCACAAAUAGUUUUUAAAACGCAGUAACAUUUCAACCGAGUCGAAAUAGAUCAAAGAGUGUUGCCGAAUAGCAUUGCUGCUGAGGGCGAAUGUCUCCUGAACAAAUGCAUAAUACAACGCCGACAACUUCCUGAUUGAUCCACGGACAUUAGCUGGCAAACAGCUAGCCCGGCGCAUGCCAGCUUACAGUACUUGGGGUUCAGGCGAAGUCUUACAAUGCUUCCAGCUCAGACAUUUAGUAAAUUUACUGCAGCGAUGGGGGAGGGUGAGCUGUCUUCAACCCUCCCCAGGCCCCCACCCCCAAUAAAGCUGCAGACCAAACUGGUUAA